UCAAAUUCGUUAGAGCCAACCCCGUCGCCCCGGGGCAUGCCGGGAACGCGGGCUGCCUCCACAGCUGUCAAUACCGCCUCCUAACCCCCCCCACUCUAGCCUUCCCGACACUUCUGCUCAUGCGCAAACUCCUACCCCCAACCCCCGCUCCUUGAACAUGCGCAGAAUCGUCGGUUGUUCGCCGCUCUCUCUCAGCUUCCUCAGUCGUAGUCCUCCUACCUCUCCUUUUGCGCGUGCGUGCAGCUCCUAGGCUCAGCCGCUGAGGUGGAGGAACCGUGGAGACUGUGGGCCCGAGGGUCCAUAGAUGACACAUCAGUCGGUAGGCAUUUGUUCUACUGUUCGAGGAAAACAAAUAAGGGUGCAGCUUAGGCAAAAAGAAAAACAUAUUAUUGCCAGUGUCUAAACUCCUAACAACGGAAUGUUCUGAGACCGUGUGUAUGGAUACACGUGUACUUAAAACAGCUCCGCCGGUGUGUAGAGCUCUUGCUGUAAGUCAACACUUUACGGAGGGAGAUACCGCCUUAAGCCUCAGAACAACUUUAUGAGGUGGACACCUGAGACUCUGAUUAAGAAACUUGCCCCAAAGUUUUACAACUAGCCUAUUUCUAACAGGCUUAUUUAUGUGAAUUCUUAUUCUAACCUGGAUUGGAAUCAGAAAAUUGGACAGUGUUGCAGGUACUGAUUGAUGCAGGCACACUGACAGCCACAAAAGUGAGAACUGACUGCACUACAAGAAAGGUUAAAAAAAGUCCUUCAGACAGAAGGGAAAUGAUACCAGAUGGACAUACAGAUUUAUACAAAGGAAUGAUGAGCACUGGAAAAGAAUGUUAUCUUCCAGGAGGGCAGGCCUCUGUCUUUUUGUUGACUCCAGCACCUAGCAAGUAUUUGACACAUAAAAGAUGUUCAGUAUUUGGAUUGGUUCCUGGAAGUGGAACUACUAUCUCAGAGAUUUGGACAUAUUUAAGACUCCAGAAAGAUGCUCACCAUGGCUGAAUCCCCAUGGAAGCCAGGGGGAAGGUAGCUCGGAUGCAGUCCACACAGUCGGCCCCGAGGGCAGAGAGCAGGUGAAGAAUGGAAGGUGGAUUUGGACAAGCAGAAGAUACAGCAAGAAGAAAGUUACAUGCAAACCAGAAAGAGGACUCUCACCAGACACUGACUCUGCUGGCACCUUGAUCUUGGACUUCCCAGCCUCCAGAACUGUAAGAAAUGAAUGUUUAUUGUUUAAACCAUAUGAUAACUUGCUAUAG